UGUUGAGCUUGAGUACUUAGAUUGGAUAACAUGCCAUUGCGACGCAACUCAUCCAUCAAACUUGCAAUUUGAGCUUGCAUUUGAACCUGCAUUUGAGUUCUUUCAGCUUGUAGUUUAGCUUCCAUCUCAACUCGCAUGGUAUCUAACUGUUGGUUCACCAUAUCCUUUAUUGCCUCUUGAUGAUAAUUAAAAAGCA